UACGGAGGGAGCAAGCGUUACUCGGAAUUAUUGGGCGUAAAGGGCGCGUAGGCGAUUCGAUAAGUCUCAUGUGAAAUCCCAGGGCCUAACCCUGGAAUGGCAUGGGAUACUGUUGGAUUUGAGUUCCGGAGAGGAAGGCAGAAUUCCCGGUGUAGCGGUGAAAUGCGUAGAUAUCGGGAGGAAUACCAGUGGCGAAGGCGGCCUUCUGGACGGAUACUGACGCUGAGGCGCGAAAGCCAGGGUAGCAAACGGG
rnacentral:rRNA from 1 species